GAUGAACGCUGGCGGCGUGCCUAAUACAUGCAAGUCGAGCGAACAGACGAGGAGCUUGCUCCUCUGACGUUAGCGGCGGACGGGUGAGUAACACGUGGAUAACCUACCUAUAAGACUGGGAUAACUUCGGGAAACCGGAGCUAAUACCGGAUAACAUGUUGAACCGCAUGGUUCAACAGUGAAAGACGGUCUUGCUGUCACUUAUAGAUGGAUCCGCGCCGCAUUAGCUAGUUGGUAAGGUAACGGCUUACCAAGGCAACGAUGCGUAGCCGACCUGAGAGGGUGAUCGGCCACACUGGAACUGAGACACGGUCCAGACUCCGACGGGAGGCAGCAGUAGGGAAUCUUCCGCAAUGGGCGAAAGCCUGACGGAGCAACGCCGCGUGAGUGAAGAAGGUCUUCGGAUCGUAAAACUCUGUUAUUAGGGAAGAACAAAUGUGUAAGUAACUAUGCACGUCUUGACGGUACCUAAUCAGAAAGCCACGGCUAACUACG
rnacentral:rRNA from 1 species